GGGCUCGCAGGCGGUUUCUUAAGUCUGAUGUGAAAGCCCCCGGCUCAACCGGGGAGGGUCAUUGGAAACUGGGAAACUUGAGUGCAGAAGAGGAGAGUGGAAUUCCACGUGUAGCGGUGAAAUGCGUAGAGAUGUGGAGGAACACCAGUGGCGAAGGCGACUCUCUGGUCUGUAACUGACGCUGAGGAGCGAAAGCGUGGGGAGCGAACAGGAUUAGAUACCCUGGUAGUCCACGCCGUAAACGAUGAGUGCUAAGUGUUAGGGGGUUUCCGCCCCUUAGUGCUGCAGCUAACGCAUUAAGCACUCCGCCUGGGGAGUACGGUCGCAAGACUGAAACUCAAAGGAAUUGACGGGGGCCCGCACAAGCGGUGGAGCAUGUGGUUUAAUUCGAAGCAACGCGAAGAACCUUACCAGGUCUUGACAUCCUCUGACAACCCUAGAGAUAGGGCUUUCCCUUCGGGGACAGAGUGACAGGUGGUGCAUGGUUGUCGUCAGCUCGUGUCGUGAGAUGUUGGGUUAAGUCCCGCAACGAGCGCAACCCUUGAUCUUAGUUGCCAGCAUUCAGUUGGGCACUCNUAGGUGACUGCCGGUGACAAACCGGAGGAGGGUGGGGAUGACGUCAAAUCAUCAUGGCCCUUAUGACCUGGGCUACACACGUGCUAC
rnacentral:rRNA from 1 species